AGUGAACGCUGGCGGUAGGCCUAACACAUGCAAGUCGAACGGCAGCACAGUAAGAGCUUGCUCUUACGGGUGGUGAGUGGCGGACGGGUGAGGAAUACAUCGGAAUCUACUUUUUCGUGGGGGAUAACGUAGGGAAACUUACGCUAAUACCGCAUACGACCUACGGGUGAAAGCAGGGGAUCUUCGGACCUUGCGCGAUUGAAUGAGCCGAUGUCGGAUUAGCUAGUUGGCGGGGUAAAGGCCCACCAAGGCGACGAUCCGUAGCUGGUCUGAGAGGAUGAUCAGCCACACUGGAACUGAGACACGGUCCAGACUCCUACGGGAGGCAGCAGUGGGGAAUAUUAGACAAUGGGCGCAAGCCUGAUCCAGCCAUACCGCGUGGGUGAAGAAGGCCUUCGGGUUGUAAAGCCCUUUUGUUGGGAAAGAAAAGCAGCAGGUUAAUACCCCGCUGUUCUGACGGUACCCAAAGAAUAAGCACCGGCUAACUUCGUG
rnacentral:rRNA from 1 species